rnacentral:lncRNA from 1 species
GGGGCGUGAUAAUUUUCUCUCCAUACAAGUUUGCAGACAUUUAUAUACAAAGACCGUCCUGUGCGAGAUUCGCAUGAAAUUCUAGUAGAGCUUGGAAUUUGGAAUUGGUGUGGCAUAUCCAUCCUUUUGGCAGAUUUCCCAUCAAAUUUUCGUCUCUCACCAGGGUCGCUGGAGCGAGGCGAAAUUCAAUGAAGAUGACGGCAAUC